UACCUGUCUAUCCUGCCAGAAGUUUGAGAGGGUGAAGACUGUGGCGCUGGAGUUGAAGCCCAUCAAAGUUGUUUCAUCAUGGCACAUGAUCGGGGUGGACCUCAUCGGACCCUUCACGAAAUCCAGGAAUGAUAACCGCUGGUGUCUGACGGCAAACGAUUAUUACACCAAGUGGGUGGAGGCAAUACCCAUUAAGGCUGGGCACCUGGCACCAUUUCCCAGUCCCGAUUCCAGUCCCUGUCCUGGGUCCAGGCCUCGCAAGGUGUCCACACCCUACACAGAGGUCAGUAUCCACUGCUUCUGUUGGAAAUAUGUGAGAGAAGGUAAGGGGGUGGCCCGGUGCAGGAGAUGCGGCAAGUAUUUUAACGUGUCUUGUUUGUCUCAUGUCGUCAAUGUGCGGGAAUUUGUCUGUCCAUCGUGUCCAUCAUCUGUUUUGUCUGAUGUUUUCCCAACCAUUGUUUUCACUGCUUGGCCGGCUCCCCGCCUCAAGACAGUAGGUAUUUUACUACAUUGCAUCUUGUUGUAUAAAGUAUGUUAUGGUAAAUAACCUUAAUAACCUGUUGUAAUAUUGUUUUAAAUUUGUAUUAUAAAGAUGUGUUUUCUUGCAGAUAUUGGCAAUGAAGUUGGUAAGUAUAAACCAUAUGUAUCUGUAAAUAUUUGUAUAUUUUUCCAUUUGUUUGCUGGUAAAUAUUUGAAACUUGCUCAAAUUGGAUGUAAAUGUAAACAUUUGCAUAUUAAAUGUAUUCAUUGCAAGUAAAAUGUUCAAUUGACCAGUUCCUUACUGGUCCUUAACCCCUUCUUCCUAACCAUUCAUCUUUGGUGUCCAAUUCCAAAUCAAAUUUUAGGCCAGGGUUGGCAUGGAAUUGGACAUUGGUUUCUAGUUAGUGUUUGUAUAUCUGGAAGUUCUAGAUUUGUUGAGUCAUCACCACAUUGCUACACCUAUCCAAGCCCCAUUAGGUCAAACACUACAAAGAUAGAGUAGGGGGCUAAAGGACUUAAAAUGUUUUAUCCUGUUUUUGUUUUUUUAUCCUUCUCUCGGCCUGUACCUUGACGUGCCGAGAGGGCUUCCAACUAAACCAGGCCCCUGUUAUUGAACCCCUGACUGAGACUGGCUGCCUGUCGAGGACAAGUGACAAGAAGAAUUAGCCACAGCACCUGAUCAAGCAUCUCUUGCUUCUGCCUCCUUCCUCAUCUUUUAACUCUUUCUCUCCUCUCCCUCCAGAUGAAAUUCUGCAUCUAGUGACUUCUGAUUUCCCAACAAUCUGCCCACUCAUCCCAUCCCCUCCUCAUUACAUAAUUUAAAGCUACUGUUAUUGUCAUGUUGUCAUUAUCUGCUAAUAAAGUUUGCGAGCCAUAUCAUACUGGGCAUAUAAUAUGUGAGAUACACAGAUGAAGUAAAAACUACUAGUACUGCAAACACUCAGAACAAGGAGAGCAGCAGUGCCUGGACUUCGCAGUCUCCCUCUUCAAGUCCCCCUUCCGAGACUGUCUGUUGAGAACAAGUGACAGGCAGAACCUCACACCCACACAGCACCCACCUCUUUAUUCCACACACCAGAAUUAAGUAUUUCUGUCUGCCAUGUGUGUACA